UAUUGCCCAAUGGACGAAAGUCUGAGGCAGCAACGCCGCGUGCGCGAUGAAGGCCUUCGGGUCGUAAAGCGCUUUUCGGGAGGAUGAGGAAGGACAGUACUCCCGGAAUAAGGUACGGCUAACUACGUGCCAGCAGCCGCGGUAAAACGUAGGUACCGAGCGUUAUCCGGAUUUACUGGGCGUAAAGCGCGUUCAGGCGGCAUAGCAAGUCGGGCAUGAAAUCUCUCGGCUCAACCGGGAGAGGCUGUCCGAUACUGCUGGGCUUGAGGGCAGUAGAGGGUGGUGGAAUUCCGGGUGUAGUGGUGAAAUGCGUAGAGAUCCGGAGGAACACCAGUGGCGAAAGCGGCCACCUGGACUGUACCUGACGCUGUAGCGCGAAAGCUAGGGGAGCGAACGGG
rnacentral:rRNA from 1 species